UUGGUGAUGCUAUGCUACUAGUGACUUGAGAUGGUUAUACUCUCUUUUCCUACAUGUGUGUGUGUGUGUUUUAAUCUAUUUUUUGGAGCUCAUUUAAAAAUGGUGUGGAUCAGGUUUCAAACAGAAAUUAUUAGGUGAUGUGAAUCUCAAUGAUUUUAUAUUAAGUUAUUUCAUGAUUUUGUUUCCUCUCAAAGACACUUUUUUCUUUUCUCUUUUUUUUCUUUUCUUUUUUUUCUUUUUUAAUGUUUGGAUAACAUCAUUUAUGUGCUUACAUUUUUCUGGAUGAAUAUAUAAAUGAUGAUCGAAAUUAGUUUAAUUGAAGUAACAUAUUUUAAUUAAGACGAAAGGUUGCAUAAGAAAAAUAAAAUGUGACCACAUGUGUGAUGUCUGUGUAUUUAUUAUGUGUGUGUAGUGUAUUAUAAAAGUAAAAGAAAAAUAAUUUAAUGGUGGGGCCCACAAGGCACUUUAGAAAAGGGUCAAGACCAUAAAGUUGGUCUCAUUUUCCUGAUUCCCUUUCUCUCUCUUCGUGCAUCUCUCUCUCAACCCGUUCCGUUUGAGGCAAAACGAAGCUCGUGUCAAGCUCUAUACAUCCAUACCAUCAAUUUCCAGUUUUGAGUCUUCCUUGGAGCUCGAAUUUGAGGACCCAUUUUCUAGGGUUUUGGUGCAAUCUUGAGGUCUUGGAAAAGAACCGGUGGACGACAAUCCACCCCAACUUUGAAAGUUGCUAGAGGAGCAUUUUCCUUGUUAUUUUGUAAUAGACUGCUCCUUUGUUCAUCCCUCAUUUUUUGUAAAAUUCCAAAGGUGUAAUGAUGUAAAUUUCUUUUGAAGAACCAUGAUCAUGUAGUACACUUAUGAUACUUGAUGACAUAUGGGAUGCGAACUUGAUGAUAUGUAACUUGUUGAUGAAUGGAAGGAUAAUCCUAGCUUGAAGCAUUGUCUAGAUUAGUAGGUUGUAUCAUUAUCUUUUGUUGCCGUGAAUUCGGAAAUUAGU